CCUGUCUAUCAAAACAACUGUAAGGUCUAUGCUUGCACACCUGAUUAGUGACGAAGCUGCAGCCAAGUUCAGCAUGGAUGGGCGCAAAGGGAAGAAGGUUUUCCGUAGCCUUAAGCUGUACAAAUUGAUCUUUGCUGCUAUAAAGCGGACAAAGCACUGCAAAGAGUCUAC